CACAUUUUUUAUCAACGUAUAAGCCUGAUGAUAUCGAGAGAGAAGCAUUCAGAAAAUAUUUGGAAAGAGAAGGAGUUAUGGAUGUAUUAACCAAAAGUUCAAUAUUUAUAAAUUACUAUAUUUUUAAAUUUAUAGUAGUACUCUUGACAUUAUAUGAAGAAAAAGAGAAACCGAAAUACCCAUUGAAAUAUAUUAAAGAACAAUUGCAGGAACUUGUGG